CUUAUUUUAUGACUAUAGCCACCCCCACUCAGUUCUAAAGAGGAGACGUUUUUUUUUUUUUCCUUCCUUGCGUGUGCCAAAUACUCAAGCGGGCAGCACGUGCAAAUCGCGACACCUCCAGGAUCACGAGGCCCGCUUUUUAGAUUCUAUUUCGCAUCCCAAACGUCUUACCUGCAUUGCUUAUUCAUUACCGUUAUUCUCAGACCUUUCUCAGACUACAGUGGAUCCCCCAUCACACAUCGUCUCGUAAUUCUGCAGCAGGACGUCCGGUGCGCGACACGGAGCGCGCGCGCUGCAGGAGCACAAAUCUACAGGAACUUCCCCGUUUGGCUCUGAGUCAUUGCAAUGAGCGCGCGCGGUGAGGAAGCCGCCGAAGCCUCGGGAUCCCGCGAGCAGCCCGCUCCGGCCGCCGAGCCUCCGAAGAGAGGACCGGGCAGACCCAGGAAGCCGCAGCAAGAACCCACGGGUGAGCCUGUCCCCAAACGUCCAAGAGGACGUCCCAAGGGAAGCAAGAACAAGGGCCCUUCCAAAGCAGCACAGAAGAAAGCUGAGACCACAGGGGAGAAGAGACCCAGAGGAAGACCAAGGAAAUGGCCACAGCAAGUGGUCCAAGAAAAGCCUGCUCAGGAAGAGGAGGAGGCCGAGGGCUCUCCCGAGGAGGACUAAACAACCACAUCAUUUUACCUCUACCUCAUCCAGCUGUCAGCUCUCUUCAAGGGAAAAGACUGCCUUGACCACUUAUCCUUUAAAGAAGACAUAAUAUUCAAUACUUUCACAUAAAGGGAAGUAUGUCAUCAUGUUCUGACUCAAAACCUGAACCUCAAGAAAGAUAAUCCACAGGAAAGAAACCACACUAUACCUCAAGACACACAAGAUACAUGAAGCACAGUGACUUUGGAAGAGUUCAGGGCUUCGAUCCCGUCGGCACUGGUGCCCAUGAAAUAUCUCCUCACCAUUUCAAAGCUACCUCCGAUUUCUUCACCCAGCGAAUCAGCUUGUGAGACACACGCUGCUAUAAACUACUCAUUACUCAGCAGGGGAUGGCAGUGAGUGCCAAUGUCAAAAAAAAAACCUUCUCUGAAUGCCUGUAAUAAUGAUGUGUGAUGGCACAGAGAAGCUCUGCAAAAGAUUUGUGAGAGUCAGGCAGGUGAUGACUGAAAUCAGAGGUGUGAUUGGAUUCCAAGAUGAACUCCUCAAGCAGCUAAGGGAAUACGUACUGUUUUGUUUUUUUAUUAUUAUUAUUAAAAAAAAUUUGUUUCCUUAUUUUUAACACUUUCAUUUACCUAUGUAAUAAGAUUCUUUUCUUUCUCUGCAACUGGGGCAUCUGUUUUACAUCAGUUAACUUGAAUACGUUUUGUACUGAUUUUAUUCAAUUGUUUCUAUGGAUCAAUUGCUUAUAUGACUCUAAAUGAUAUUAUUGCAAAUGGAUUUUCUCUGCUCCUCUUAUUCUUUUCAUUCUUCUCCUUUUUUUGAGUUGUAGUGUAGAUUUCUUCUCAUAUACGUACUAUUCAGAUAUGUACCUCAAAAAAGAGAAACAAAAGACUAAUAAUCAGUUGACAAAUACCUACCUCCGGUCUUGAUCAAAUAAACGAUUUUGCCUGGUCUAUUUCAGCACAAUUUCAAACAAUGUACGCUGAAGAAAAACAAAACAAAAACAACGGACUGCACGAAAUCCAUGCUUUACAAACUUUCAAUUUGAAUCAAUUUUAAUUUGCCUGGGGGAGAAGACAGAGUAGAAAAAAAAACUUGAUAAUUUUUCAGGUUAAAAUAUAUAUAUAUAUAUAUAUGUUUUGGUUUUGUAUAUUGCAUACAUGACUAUGUUUUUUUUUUUUUUGUUUUUUUUUUGGAAAGAUUAGUAGAUAUCGAGAUAUACUUGAUUAGCAAGUUUUGUGUCUUUUACACAAAUGUGAUUUUUCUGUUCUUGUUAUGUGGUUCAAGCAGGUUUAUAUGUGAUACUUCAUAUGUAGUGAAAUGUUACACCUUUUUCAGCCUAUCGUCAUGAAAACCUUUGAACCGUUAACUGGUAUAUUCUCAACUGGGCCUGAGGUAGAGCCUCAUGGAAAGCUAGUGGAGCAGCGGACAUGCCUCUUGAACUGACACAUUUAUAGUUGCAUGGAGUGGCUACCUUUAGCAUGGCAGCUGCAAACCAACAUUAGAUCUUGCUCAAACACUGUAACGCUACCUAACUUUUUUACAAAUUCAGCAGAGCAAAAAUCUGCCUGAAAGAGUAGUUUAUAAGUGUAGGAGUGUAUGAGUGUAGGCAUUGAAAUAUGGUCUUUUGGCAGCUUGAAACUAAGGCUACAUUCACGUUCGACACAUUAUGAAGCAACUAAAUGGCAGAGACAUAAAUUAAAUUUUUUUUUCUUUUUUUUUUUAGCAUCAUGCAUCCAAAAUGAAAUGUAGCUCUGCAGGGAGCUGUACAUUCAUAAGAAAGUUCAGCUCACUGUAAAGACCUUCAGUUUACUAUUAAUGCAACAGUUUUAUGUGAUUUAUGUGAAUGCAGCUUAAUUCGGAGUAUUCACCGAGUUGGUAGAUGUUGCCAUUUAUCACUUCAAAAAUGGAUUAUUUUGGGAGAAAUAAAAGAACAAUUAGGUAAAUGAGAUUCAAAUGUAGUCGGGGGAAGCAGGUUCCUGCUUAGUGGUAAAACGCAACUCCUACUUACAGUGACACCCAUUGCCUAAAGCAGAGCUCAUACUUCCUGCAAAACUGAUGUGCACUCAGCUCAGAGGAGCAAAAUAAUGUACUGUAGCCGGUCACAAUACUGGAUUCUGGAUUCCAGCAGGUCUCUAGGAUUCUCUCGGAUUCUGCAAAGGAAUUGAACGUAAAUACAUCAUCCUCACAUUGUUCGUGGUAAAUUGACUAAAUACGUGCUUAUAAAGCAAGGGUUUUGAAUGAAACAGCUCACUACUGUAACAUGUUUGAAGGGGUGGGGCCAAGUGGAUAACUCCAGAGAGCUGAGGCUUGGAUCCGAAACAAAAUGGUUUACAAGUUACUACAAAACUAUGCACCGUUAAACCCAAAGAGAGACGUAAAGGAUGGAUUGAAUGUGCGAAAAGAAGUAGUACAGACUUUGCUGACACAUUCACAUACUGGAAGUAUGUAUCAUUUUGAAACUGCAUAGAUUCUCUUUUAUCCUGAAGAGCCUUAAAACAACUUUUCAUUUGGAGACACCAUGUAAUGUAUAGGGCGUUCCCUUGUUUAGAGAGUUUACAUUUAAGCUUGUUUAAGUUUUGCUUACCCCCUAACAAACAUCUGUUUGCAAGAAGUAUGUUCACUCCUUUAGGGAAAAGAAAUCAUGAACAAAACAGACUGUUGGCUGUAAUGCACAAGUCUGACAAUGUGCAUUGCUGAGAAAACGUCACAAUGUUCUCAUGUCCUUUCUUGACUUGAUCUGUUGGUUUGAAUGUGUAUCCACAGGAGCCACUGUUAAUGUGCUUUCCGCUGUGGGUGUCUUAAUGAAGUCGACUCUGAUAACAUGGUCUAGUACAAUCGAAUACACACUACUACCUCCAAGAGGGCCUCUUUUUAUACCUCAUUAUUCAAACUGCUUAAAUUCAGUUAAAUUCAGGUGGCUGACUCCAGGGAGAACAUGUUAUAUAUAAUUAUAUAUAUAUAUUUUUUGUUCAUAUAUCUAUUUUUAUGGGUGAUACAUUUUAUAAGUCUGUUCAUCUCUGCCUUUCAGUCACAGUUGGACUGAACAGUUAGAACCUUGCUCUAAAGCAAAUUUCUUCUCAUUAUGCAAUGUUACGUAGUUUCAUUAGCUGUGGGGAGAGAAGGUCGCCUGUUCUUGGCCUCCUCCUCCUAAUAUAUAACUUCAAAUGUUUUCUAACAUUUAUGGCUUUCUCUGUUUCACCUAGUAUUGCUGUCUAUAAUUCCACUUCAAAUUGCUUGCCUGUUAAAAAAAAACUGAAUUAAAAAAAAGUUCUCUUUAUAGAUAUUCACUGCCUUAUUAAGCACAAUAAAAUGGGUGCUUCUGACUGCUGUUGUCUGUGAAGUCUUUUGUGAUACACUACUUUUGUAUAUUAUUAAAAAAGUAUUCUUCAAGGGUUCUUUACCAAAGGCAAUGAUGUACACUACAAGUCAGAUGUUUGGAGACAAGAAUACAUUUUUGGAAAUUCUCGGCAGAAAGGGGGUCUAGUUUGAAGAUGCUAAAAUAUUAAUUUAAUUUGAUUGAUUUGGGAUUUUUUUUUCACAACAUAAUUCCCAUAGUUCCACUUGUGUUACUCCAGAGUUUUGAUGACUUUAUUAUUAUUCUAAAAUGUGGGGGGAAAAAUUAAAUGAAAUAAAGAAUGAGUGUGUCUAAAUUUUUGACCGGUAAUGUAGAACUGUGACAAUGUGCUUAAUUGGUUUCUUACAGUACAGAAAAUGGAAAACAUUUGCUAUUCAAGUUAUGACAGUUGCCACCACAAGGUCAGUUAUUAUAUUCUAUACACUGUAAAAAGUCAUUCAUACCUUACUUAAAAACUUACUUAAUUUUGG